rnacentral:rRNA from 1 species
GGCGGCAUGCCUAACACAUGCAAGUCGAACGAGACCUUCGGGUCUAGUGGCGCACGGGUGCGUAACGCGUGGGAAUCUGCCCCUUGGUUCGGAAUAACAGUUAGAAAUGACUGCUAAUACCGGAUAAUGUCUUCGGACCAAAGAUUUAUUGCCAAGGGAUGAGCCCGCGUAGGAUUAGCUAGUUGGUGAGGUAAAAGCUCACCAAGGCGACGAUCCUUAGCUGGUCUGAGAGGAUGAUCAGCCACACUGGGACUGAGACACGGCCCAGACUCCUACGGGAGGCAGCAGUGGGGAAUAUUGGACAAUGGGCGAAAGCCUGAUCCAGCAAUGCCGCGUGAGUGAUGAAGGCCUUAGGGUUGUAAAGCUCUUUUACCCGGGAUGAUAAUGACAGUACCGGGAGAAUAAGCCCCGGCUAACUCCGUGCCAGCAGCCGCGGUAAUACGGAGGGGGCUAGCGUUGUUCGGAAUUACUGGGCGUAAAGCGCACGUAGGCGGCUUUGUAAGUUAGAGGUGAAAGCCCGGAGCUCAACUCCGGAAUUGCCUUUAAGACUGCAUCGCUAGAACGUCGGAGA